rnacentral:rRNA from 1 species
AUUGAACGCUGGCGGCAGGCCUAACACAUGCAAGUCGAGCGGAUGAGAGGAGCUUGCUCUUCGAUUCAGCGGCGGACGGGUGAGUAAUGCCUAGGAAUCUGCCUAGUAGUGGGGGACAACGUUUCGAAAGGAACGCUAAUACCGCAUACGUCCUACGGGAGAAAGUGGGGGAUCUUCGGACCUCACGCUAUUAGAUGAGCCUAGGUCGGAUUAGCUAGUUGGUAGGGUAACGGCCUACCAAGGCGACGAUCCGUAACUGGUCUGAGAGGAUGAUCAGUCACACUGGAACUGAGACACGGUCCAGACUCCUACGGGAGGCAGCAGUGGGAAAUAUUGGACAAUGGGCGAAAGCCUGAUCCAGCCAUGCCGCGUGUGUGAAGAAGGCCCUCGGGUCGUAAAGCACUUUAAGUUGGGAGGAAGGGCUUACAGCGAAUACCUGUGAGUUUUGACGUUACCGACAGAAUAAGCACCGGCUAACUUCGUGCCAGCAGCCGCCGUAA